UACGAAGGGUGCAAGCGUUGUUCGGAAUCAUUGGGCGUAAAGCGCGCGCAGGCGGAUCAGUAAGUCAGAUGUGAAAUCUCGAAGCUCAACUUCGAAACUGCGUCUGAAACUACUAGUCUAGAGUGUCGGAGGGGGUAGGGGAAUUUCACGUGUAGGGGUAAAAUCCGUAGAGAUGAUAAGGAACACCGGGGGCGAAGGCGCCUACCUGGACGACUACUGACGCUGAGGCGCGAAAGCGUGGGGAGCAAACAGG
rnacentral:rRNA from 1 species